rnacentral:rRNA from 1 species
CCUUGACAUACUAAGAACUUUCCAGAGAUGGAUUGGUGCCUUCGGGAACUUAGAUACAGGUGCUGCAUGGCUGUCGUCAGCUCGUGUCGUGAGAUGUUGGGUUAAGUCCCGNAACGAGCGCAACCCUUUUCCUAUUUGCCAGCGGGUCAUGCCGGGAACUUUAAGGAUACUGCCAGUGACAAACUGGAGGAAGGCGGGGGACGACGUCAAGUCAUCAUGGCCCUUACGGCCAGGGCUACACACGUGCUACAAUGGUCGGUACAAAGGGUUGCUACCUCGCGAGAGGAUGCUAAUCUCAAAAAGCCGAUCGUAGUCCGGAUCGCAGUCUGCAACUCGACUGCGUGAAGUCGGAAUCGCUAGUAAUCGCGGAUCAGAAUGCCGCGGUGAAUACGUUCCCGGGCCUUGUACACACCGCCCGUCACACCAUGGGAGUUUGUUGCACCAGAAGUAGGUAGUCUAACCGCAAGGAGGACGCUUACCACGGUGUGGCCGAUGACUGGGGUGAAGUCGUAACAAGGUAAGCGUAGAUGA